rnacentral:rRNA from 1 species
UACGGAGGGGGCUAGCGUUGUUCGGAAUUACUGGGCGUAAAGCGCACGUAGGCGGCUUUGCAAGUUAGAGGUGAAAGCCCGGGGCUCAACUCCGGAAUUGCCUUUAAAACUGCAUCGCUAGAAUUGUGGAGAGGUAAGUGGAAUUCCGAGUGUAGAGGUGAAAUGCGCAGAUAUCAGGAAGAACACCCGUGGCGAAGGCGGCUCUCUGGAACGCAACUGACGCUGAGACGCGAAAGCGUGGGGAGCAAACAGG